CACGUAGGGCGCGAGCGUUGUCCGGAAUUAUUGGGCGUAAAGAGCUCGUAGGCGGCCUGUUGCGUCCGCUGUGAAAGCCCGGGGCUUAACCCCGGGUCGGCAGUGGAUACGGGCAGGCUAGAGGUAGGUAGGGGAGAAUGGAAUUCCCGGUGUAGCGGUGAAAUGCGCAGAGUAUCGGGAAGCAACACCGUGCGAAGGCGGCUCUCUGGGACGGUACUGACGCUGAGACGCGAAAGCGUGGGGAGCGAACAGG
rnacentral:rRNA from 1 species